rnacentral:rRNA from 1 species
GACGAACGCUGGCGGCGUGCUUAACACAUGCAAGUCGAACGGAAAGGCCCUGCUUUUGUGGGGUGCUCGAGUGGCGAACGGGUGAGUAACACGUGAGUAACCUGCCCUUGACUUUGGGAUAACUUCAGGAAACUGGGGCUAAUACCGGAUAGGAGCUCCUGCUGCAUGGUGGGGGUUGGAAAGUUUCGGCGGUUGGGGAUGGACUCGCGGCUUAUCAGCUUGUUGGUGGGGUAGUGGCUUACCAAGGCUUUGACGGGUAGCCGGCCUGAGAGGGUGACCGGCCACAUUGGGACUGAGAGACGGACCAGACUCCUACGGGAGGCAGCAGGGGGGAAUAUUGCACAGUGGGCGGAAGCCUGAUGCAGCAACGCCGCGUGCGGGAUGACGGCCUUCGGGUUGUAAACCGCUGUCGCCUGUGACGAAGCGUGAGUGACGGUAAUGGGUAAAGAAGCACCGGCUAACUACGUG